rnacentral:tRNA from 1 species
GUGAGAGUAGCUCAGUGGCAGAGCGUUCGACUGUUAAUCGAAUGGUCGUAGGUUCGACCCCUACCUGCCGAGCCA